CCCUGCUCCAUCACUGGCCAGCUCUGUGACAUCUGGCAAAUUUUUACCCCUCUGGAUCUGAGCUCUCUCAUUCACAGAUCAAAAGCCUCAGCUCCUUCGCCAGGACUUCCCCAGUGAAGAUGAAAUUAGGCAAGAUCUCCUGGCAACGAUGAUACAUCCCUGCCCCACCCCAUCCUCCUUAUGGCGACAGGAAUCAACCCCACAGAAAGCAUUCAACACACCCCCAUGACGCACUGGGGUUGCAGAGGCUCAGUGGAGAAGACAUCAGCCAGGAGUCCAUUUUGCCAGACUUGGGAGCCAUGACUGACGCUCAAAGAAUCAAGACCACAUCACUGUCAUCAUGCCGGGCAGCACAGAGCUCAGGCUGGCUUCUCUUUCUUAUCCUCACCGGGAGCUCCCAACACAGAGGCCAUUCAGGAAGUGGCCAGGACCAACUGGACCCUCACAAACAAAAGUGGGAGAGGGAUGCCUUACUCAAACCUUCCCACGGUAUUGUCAGGAAAGCUCUAGUCAGGAGAAUACACAAACUUCAAAACAAAUCACAUUUGGGACAUAAAAAUAAUAACCAUCACCUCCAUAUUUCAAACAAUAUUUGACCGAGGUUUUCAAGGUGACGGCACAUGUGUUAUUUCCAACUGCCCAUCUUCAGGACCAAAGCAUUGGACAGGGCUGGAGCUAUCACCCCCUCCCCACACUCCUUAUGCCUGGGACUCUGGGAAAUCCAGACCCCUGUCAACAUCCUUUGGGAGAGACAAGACACAGGCCCACACCUUUGUCCCUCCAGCACUGGCACAGCGUUUUGCACACAGGAGGCCCUCAGGGGGUCAAAACUUGAAGUGAACAACUUCGGGAGGUCCAGAACAGAGACAAGCCAUCUCCCACCUUGUUAAGGGGCACUCAAGGUUUCAUGCUUUUCUUUCCUGUAAGAAAGUUCACCAGUUUUUGUUCCUGUCCCACUCCUUUAGAGCAAAAGGGACCUCGGCUGGAGCAAUGCAGGAGAUGGAAAGAAGACAAUGAAGGGCAGAGACCUCAAGGGAGAUGCAGUUGGGUCUAAGGCAGAACUUUCAAGAGCAGCCAGGAUGUUCCCAUUAUCUCAGAUGGAGCCAAACCACCCCGAUUCAGCACCACUAGCAUGUGUGGGAAGACCCAAAUGUGGCAGGAGUUCGAGACCAACCUGGCCAACCUGGCAAAACCCCAUCUCUGCUAAAAAUAUAAAAAUUAGCCAGACAUGGUGGCUCACAUCCGUAAUCCCAUUACUUUGGGAGGCCAAGGCAGGCAGAUCACCUGAGGUCAGGAGUUGAAGACCAGACUAGCCAACAUGGCAAAACCCUAUUUCUACUAAAAAUACAAAAAUUAGCCAGGCAUGGUGGCUCAUGCCUGUAGUCCCAGCUACUUGAGAGGCUGAGGCACAAGAAUGGCUUGAACCACGGAGGCAGUUUGCAGUGAGCCAAGAUUGUGCCACUUCACUCCAGCCUGGGUGACUGAGUGAAAAUUUGUCUUUAAAAAAACAUAAAAAGUAGACCCAAACUUGGUUAGGGCAUCCAGGCUGGGGCGACUAAGAAGCCUCCACUCAUUGCCAAGUCCAUUUUGGCAUUAGGGAAGACAGCACAGGGACUCUCAGACCAUGUUGAGACCAUCAGCAAGGCCAAAUCACUUGUUCAGGGGCACAAGAUUUGAGGAGACAGGGUUGAAAUUAGACUCCCAGCAGCUGGAGAGGGUGGCCUUGGGAGCCUAUUGGGCAACAAAGAAUCCACCCAACUGUCAGAGGCAGGUGAACCAGAGCAACUCCAUCUUGAAUAGGAGCUGGGUAAAAUGAGGCUGAGACCUGCUGGACUGCAUUCCCAGAAAGUGAGGUAUUCCUAGCUGCUAGAUGUUUAUGGUUAAGGGAGCAGAUUGAUAAUGGUUACUCAACAGACCCAGAUUUGGGAGUAUCCUAAUAUCCCAAUAUCUUGAGAACAAAGGCAUUCCUAAUUUUGCUUUAAAGAUAAUAAAAUCAAUUCUUGCAAAAUAUAGUAAUUAAGAAAAUUACUCCCUUUUCACAAACCCUUGUAGCAGAGCACAUCUCCCCAUGAUCUUUUUUAUCCUAUAUAUACGAGCAUUGGACCUAGGGUGGACUCAUUCCUUUUCUUACUUUCCUGAACGCCCUACUCUGUCUACGAGUAGCCGUACUUUCACCACUUUACUUU
rnacentral:lncRNA from 10 species